GGUGGGAAUAGGUCAGGCCAGGCCAGGCUUUAAAAGGUCUGAGCCUAGCCUACGAUGAAUUUUUGAGGCCUGAGACUGGCCUAUAGCCUAUCAAAGACUUUUAUUUUGGUUCGACUUGACCUUUUUAAAAGGCUAGCCUGGCUUAAUAGCCUUUUUAAAAGUCUUCUUCACAUUAAGUUUUUAAUAUUCCUUCAUGAAAAAGGAGA
rnacentral:lncRNA from 1 species